rnacentral:lncRNA from 1 species
CAAUUAUUAACACACUAUUUCACAGAAUAGUGAGGACUACUAAUGCUAUCCUCUGGACCGUCACUCCGUUCCCUGACUAGUCCCUGCUAUGUUCUCAUUUCCUGAAGAGAACAGUGAAAGAAAGGGUGAGCUCAACUAGCCCAGUAAGAAAUAUUAUGACUAAGAUAAUGCAGAAUAAAUUAUCAUUAGCCUCCAACAAUG